GUUCCGUAGGUGAACCUGCGGAAGGAUCAUUAUUGUAUGCCCGAGGUGCGAGGGCUGUCGCUGACCCGAAAGGUCGUGCACGCCCGAGUGCCCUCACACACAUCCAUCUCACCCCUAUGUGCACCACCGCGUGGGUCCCCCUUUGGCUUGUUCGGAGGGGGGCUUACGCUUUCACACAAACUUUGUAUGCAGUGUAGAAUGUAUUUUUUGUUUUUGCGAUCACGCAAUCAAUACAACUUUCAACAACGGAUCUCUUGGCUCUC
rnacentral:misc_RNA from 1 species